AACGAACGCUGGCGGCAUGCCUAACACAUGCAAGUCGAACGAGACCUUCGGGUCUAGUGGCGCACGGGUGCGUAACGCGUGGGAACCUGCCUUUAGGUUCGGAAUAACUCAGAGAAAUUUGAGCUAAUACCGGAUGAUGUCUUCGGACCAAAGAUUUAUCGCCUUUAGAUGGGCCCGCGUUGGAUUAGCUAGUUGGUGGGGUAAAGGCCUACCAAGGCGACGAUCUAUAGCUGGUCUGAGAGGAUGAUCAGCCACACUGGGACUGAGACACGGCCCAGACUCCUACGGGAAGCAGCAGUGGGGAAUAUUGGACAAUGGGCGAAAGCCUGAUCCAGCAAUGCCGCGUGAGUGAUGAAGGCCUUAGGGUUGUAAAGCUCUUUUACCCGAGAUGAUAAUGACAGUAUCGGGAGAAUAAGCUCCGGCUAACUCCGUG
rnacentral:rRNA from 1 species